GACGAACGCUGGCGGCGUGCUUAACACAUGCAAGUCGAACGGAAAGGCCCUGCUUUUGUGGGGCGCUCGAGUGGCGAACGGGUGAGUAACACGUGAGUAACCUGCCCUUGACUUUGGGAUAACUUCAGGAAACUGGGGCUAAUACCGGAUAGGAGCUCCUGCUGCAUGGUGGGGGUUGGAAAGUUUCGGCGGUUGGGGAUGGACUCGCGGCUUAUCAGCUUGUUGGUGGGGUAGUGGCUUACCAAGGCUUUGACGGGUAGCCGGCCUGAGAGGGUGACCGGCCACAUUGGGACUGAGAUACGGCCCAGACUCCUACGGGAGGCAGCAGUGGGGAAUAUUGCACAAUGGGCGGAAGCCUGAUGCGGCAACGCCGCGUGCGGAAUGACGGCUUUCGGGUUGUAAACCGCUUUCGCAUGUGACGAAGCGUGAGUGACGGUAAUGGGUAAAGAAGCACCGGCUAACUACGUG
rnacentral:rRNA from 1 species